UACGGAGGAUCCGAGCGUUAUCCGGAUUUAUUGGGUUUAAAGGGAGCGUAGGCGGAAAGUCAAGUCAGCUGUGAAAUGUAGGCGCUCAACGCCUGCACUACAGUUGAAACUGAUUUUCUUGAGUGCGUAAGAGACAGACGGAAUUCGUCGUGUAGCAAUGAAAUGCUUAGAUAUGACGAAGAACUCCGAUUGCGAAGGCAGCUUGCUGGUCCGCCACUGACGCUGGAGCUCGAAGGUGCGGGUAUCGAAC
rnacentral:rRNA from 1 species